rnacentral:lncRNA from 1 species
GUUGCCCCGUGGUGGUUGCCGCUGGUUAUAGUCGUCGUCCAGCUAUCUCUAUCGGUCAGGCUGCCGGCGCGCUGGCCGCACCCAUCAAGGCUCCCGAUUGUUGCCCUGGUCGAGCGGCUGCCAUCUGCCAGCCUGUCUGCUCUGGACAGCUGCCUCCAUCCUCGGUUUUCUUCAUCUCUUCUGGGCCAUCAACACCUAAACCAGCUCGCAAGCGCAGGCAACCCGAGAGAGCUUUUAUACCUUCAGAUGAUUCUGUUGUGCCAUAUCUAUUUCCUAGGGAAUAUUCCUAGCGAUGGCGUUGUUCUGCUGGCUGAUGACGCCCUCUCCCAUGUUUGUGAUUUCCCUACAAGUUUUCAUUUGCCAUCAAGGCGCUCUAUACGUCGAAGACUACUUACUCAGUCUGCUGGAUUUCCCCACCCGGAUCCUGUAACAGCUGCUCAAUCACGUCGAAAGCGUAAGCUUGCUAUGGCUGCCAAAUCAUCUAGAGAAAUUAAUAGUACCACUGAAAUGAUAGAGCAUCGGACGCAUAUCCAUGUGCUACAACGGAAUGUUCGACAACGAACCGGUCUGUCUCAGUCAUCCACCUUGGUUCCUAUCAAUUGUGGCCAUACACAACCUUUUGCAACUGUCGAUGGAGACCAUUUGCUCAUCAAUUCUCGCGGUUUUGCUGAUGUAAACCUGAUGCUCGACAUGUCAAAUCAGAUCACUCAUACAGUAUGA